rnacentral:lncRNA from 1 species
CUUCCCUCCCGAGGCCCCCACCUCGCCACCGCCUCCCAUUGUCCCGUCGCCCUCGAAACUCUCCCAGAGACGGGCGAGUUGUCCACCUGUGCAGGUCUGAACUGACUUCCUGUGCCAGGGCCUCGCCUGAGCGGGGGCAGGAAGCUCACCCUUGCAGGUCUCCCCGCGCCAACGGACGCCCUGAGGCCUGACCCUGGCUGAGGCAGAGCACCCAGCUCCGUGGACCGGGACGGACGGGCUCAGGUGCCCCCCAUUCCUUCCGAAGCCGGUUCACACCCACCCGGGCCUGGCACAGGGGAGGCGCUGGCUGCAGGGUCGGGGCGGGAGCAGCCUCAACCCGGCUCCUGGGCCGCGGCCGCAGCAGUGGAACCUGUCGGGGCAGCAGGCCUUCUAGAAAGUUCUCUCCAGAAGCAGCCACCGCCGUCCUGAGGCACUUUGUGCGGAGACGGGAAGCUGUCGCCUCAGAGGUGGGUGCGUAGAAGGGUUUGGCCGGGUGCGAGGAUGACCGCGUCUCCCUUGGGCUCUGGAGUCUGCGGUGGGAAGGGCUUGGUUUCAGCACCCUCUGGUCAGAGGCCGGCCGAGCCCAUGGGCGGUGAGGUUGGUGCCUGGGGUCGUGGCUGGUCUGGUACAGGUGGGGCUCAGCCCGGAGAAGCUGGAGCCGGUUCCCAGGCCCCGCGCUAUGACUGGGGUGGGGGCAACGUCUCUCGUGAGGUUUUUUACUUAAAUGUGAAACGGCUCAGUACGGUGGCCGCAGCCGGGAACAAGGUCCGACCCACCGAGGCCCAGCCUUGAACUUGCCGCGGGGGCACCUGAACACGGUUUUACAGCCCGGAUCACUGGCUUUCUUGAAGUUUGGGAACUGAUUGAUCAUGGUGGCGGGAGGUAAGGUUCAUUGUUCUUGAUGAACAAAAUUCUUAGGGCGUGAAGAGCCGAUGCUUUAAUUAACCCCCCGGGAGCGUCUCAGGCCUCCCCCCGGGAGCGUCUCAGGCCCCGUUUACGCUGAGUGUCUGGGGAAAGACGUGGUUUGGUUUUGUUUUUCUAGUAACCCAGAUGAAAUGUUUAAAAGCAUGGUUGGCAGCACAUUGAAUUUGGCAAAAUUAAGGUUUGCAUUUGUGAAAAUGCGGAUGCAGUUUGCGGUUCUUUUCAGACAUUUUGGUAAUUUGCAAAUACUUAUUUGCGAAACGAGUUUGUCAGAACAUUUUUUAGUAUCUAGAGGAAGAUGAGAUGGGCCGAGGAGGUCGCGCACCCCUGGAUCCCUGGAGGAGCUGGUGUGUUCUCUGUGGGGCGGGUGGACGUGGCCCGGACACACGGGCCGUGCUCACAGCCGGCCUGCGAGGGCUGCAAAUCCACGCCCGCCGUGUGGGUGAAAUGGCGGCUUUGCCUCCCAGACGCGUAGCUCCGGCGACGCAGAGGGAAGAACCUGAGUGCCCGCCAGGCCGAGCUCCGCACCCCACCCCCCGGCAGCCUCUGACUCCCGGCUCGGCUCCCGCGGUCGGGGAGGGUUGGAUUUCACACUUUGUUCUCGAGGCCGCACCAUUGAUUAAGCCCGUCGGGCAGGUUAACCAACAAGUUAGGUUUUCACGCCGGGAUCACAUUCCUCGCCGGGCGCUCCCACCCCACCCCAGCCUGUGCAGGUGGGACCCGGCCAGGCAGGCGGGCAGGGCGGCCAGGUGCGCCGAGGGGCGCCUCCACGGGGAGUGUGCUCCGCAGAGAACCCCUUGCUGGGGCGGCUCUGGGCCUCCUGACUCACUCCUGGAUUUUCCCAAGCUGAGUCUGGCCCCGCGGUGAUGAUUAACCCAACACCUCAACCGGCACCGCCACGCUAGCUCCACUUCCCGGCGACGGUUGACAAGAAAGCGCCGCGUGGGGCUCUCGGAAAACAGGGAAGCUUCUGCACUCAGGAGGCGCCUGGGAAUCCUGCCCUGGAACUUAGGAAGGAGGCUUCUCCCACCUGCCUGCCACACGGGUCUGUCCCUGGGUCCCAGCCUCUGCCGUGUGCCCCUCAGCCUCCCGGGUGAGAACGCAAUGACUGAUGAGCCUGGGGUGGCCAGGCCAGCUCUGGCCCUGUGGGGUUCCUGAGAAGGCUGGCCCUGGGUGGCCAAGGGCCUGGGGACACUGGCCCCGGGCCCUGAACCUGGCAGUGGGAGGCCGGCCCGUCCGCCGGGUGGGCUGGGAACUGUGUUUGGCCCCAGCUGCAAGGGACGAGUGCCGGGCACCUGCUGCCCUCCCCACGUGACCUGGCAGCCAGGAAUGGAGCUGAAAUUCAACUCUGCUCUGAACGGGAAGUCUUAGUUUCCUUUAGCUCAGAAAACAGGUGAAAUUGUGUUCCUGAAGCACUGAUUUGAUGGGAUUUGAUGGCAUUGGUGGCGAAGGCCUGUGAGGUGAUGGAAAGGGAAAGCCGGGUGCCCUGGAGCCUGACAGGCUGGGGCCAGGGCAGGGGACCUGGUGUGGGGUCUCCGGAGAGGGUCCAGGCGUGAGGGAAGCUGGGUCAGGACCUCGGAGACGUGGCCUUUGGAGGAGGAGACUGGAACCGGGUGGACCCGGCAGCAGGCGGGGGCGGGCGGACACGACCUUUGUUGUGGUCGGCGGGCAGACAGGGGAAUCGGCACAGGGCCUGCGCCCCACCUACAGCCUCUGUGGGUGGAAGGUGCCAGAAAACUUGAAGAGUGGCUCUGGCCAGCUCUCUGGGCCCAGUUGGCACCAGGUGGUUGCAGAGAAAGGGUGGGAAGGAGGACAGGAAGGACGGCGUGUCCAGCGGGCGGGGAGCCUUGGUCUGGCCUGAGGGCUGAACCUCCCUCGGGUCCUGAGUGUGCCUGGAGUAGAAGCCUAGGGUCUCUGGGCUCCAGGCAGGGCCCUGAGCAAGGAGGGGCCACAGGGCUGCCCACUUCCUCCUGCCCCCCUGCAGAGGCGGCUCAGCCCUCGCGGCGUCUGAGGCUUGACUGCCUGUGUCUGUGUUUGUGGCCGGUCUGCCUCUGUGCCUGGGUCAGACCCCAGACCAGCAGACACACAAACCGCAGGGACGGCUGGGCAGGGUCAGGAGCCUGCCCCGCCCGCACCCCCACCCACACCCCCACCCCCACCCCCGCCUGCACCCCCUGCCCUCAGACGCUGUGCAGUGAGCGGGGCAGCAUGGGAGAGGGGUCUCCAGGUGGCGGGGACCGUUCUGUCUCGAGAGCCUCGCAGACACCGGGCCUUUGAGAAGAGAAGGGGCUGGGCAGGGAAGCAGCUCCUGGAACACCAUCCUGGAGACAGAGGCCCUUGUCCCCUGCCUCAGACAAGGCAGCACGUGGGGCCCGGGGGGCUGGGGCUGCUGUCCAGGCCUUCCUAUGGGACCACCCAGAGGGAAGGUCCCCCGCAGAGGGGUGGGGGCAGAGGGCCGAGCGGGGCGGGCAGAGGGCCCGUGUCAGCCCCACUCCGACCUAGUCCUCGGCCGUCUGGCCAGGACACUUCGGCCCCCCAGGUGCCCACCCCAGGACCCAAAGCUGGUGGCUGCUGGACUCGGCAGGGCUGGCGGGUGGGGCUCACCCGGGCCCCUGCCCUCCGGCGAUGCUGUCCUCAGUGCCCCAGGAGGACGAGGCCCCCCAGCUACUGAGCUUCCCAGCGAGUCCCAUGCAACCCUCAGCCGGGCGGCCCCCGGACCCAGCUCGGGCAGCCGUGGCCAUCUUACUGGGCAGCAUUGGAUGGAGUCAGGUCUCUAAUACUGCCUGGUAAUGAUGACGGCGGAGCCCUGCACGCAGCGACCGGCCGACCCCGUCCCGGCCCCCAGGGCCUCCCGCCGAGCCCCACACUCCCCUCCCACACAGCCCGCUCACCGGACCCCACCCCGUCCGGGCCAGAUGGCUCUGGGGAGAGUGACGGGGGGACGUGACCUUCGGAAGGGGGCUGGGGCGCCCCCCACCAGCAUCUCAGAGACCCCGGAAUGCAAGGCCUCCUGCAGCUGCACCCAGGGCGCCCCACAGUGAUCUGGGGAUUAGGACGCUCAGGUGUCCGGGCCCUGCCCACAGCGCCUGGGCGGGAGCUGCUGUCACACCCAGCAGGUGCGGGCCGAGCAGGACCCAACAGAGGGCUCAGGAGGGCAAGGCCCAACCGGGAGCCACGUGGAACCCAGAGGAAGCCGCCCCACCCAGCUUGGCCACAGCCAUCUUCCCUCCUGCCGGACAGGGUGGGCCGGCCACCGAGCAGACCAGUGCCCCCGCCUUGGUCCCGGGUCAGCAGCCCCAGGGUCCCCUUGCCCUGGAGGAAGCAGGGAGGGUGGGCCUGUGUGCAGUCUCAGGGCCCCCAAGCCCCUCUCCGCCAGCCCUGUCCGGUCCCGGCACCACCCCUGGCUGCUCACCGCUCCGGUUCUUCCCUGGGCUUCCACAGCAGCCCCUGCCUGCCUGGCGGGACCCCACGUCCCUCCCGGGCCCCUGUGAGCAUCUUACCGGACAGUGCUGGAUUUCCCAGCUUGACUCUAACACUGUCUGGUAACGAUGUUCAAAGGUGACCCGCCGCUCGCCGGGGACACCACCGAGGCACAUCCGGAGCUCCUACUCCAGGGAUGGGCUGGGGCGGAGGGCCGAGCGGGGCCAGCAGACGGGUGAGGGCGGAGGGCCGAGCGGGGCCAGCAGACGGGUGAGGGCGGAGGGCCGAGCGGGGCCAGCAGACGGGUGAGGGCGGAGGGCUGAGCGGGCGGCAGAGGGCCUGUGUCAGCUCCGAAGUCCAGCCCCCAGGGGAGGGGCCGGCCUCUGCCGGGGGUGCCCCCGGGGUCACUCACGCCCAGGCUGGGUCUGACACCUUGAGGACCCCUUGGUGCCUCCACAGGUGGCCUGGAGGGCAUCCUGCUCCCCCUCCCGGAGCCGCUGUGCCUCCCCCACCCAACCUCCCAGGCUGGGUUUUAGGGUGACCUGGCUCCAGGAAAGGCCAUAGGGCUGGGAUGCCAGGGCUGGAGAGGGAAGAGCAACAGUGGCCUCUCUCACGUGGUCCGGGCUCCGUGGAGGGUCUGCUGGGGGCGCAGGAAGGACAAGGUGGGUUCAGAUUCCCGAGCCCCACCAUGCAGGGGAGCGGGGACGCUCUGCGCUUGCCCUCUGAGGGACAAGGGGUCUCAUUCCUUCCCCCAGUCAACAAGAACAGGAACUUUGUCCAAAACCCACCAGGCCAGGAUGACCCAUUGUUUCAUCUUUUCCAUCUGCAACCAGGGCGCCUGGGACCGCACCCCCACACAAGGCCCCAGCCUGGGGAGGGGGCAGCCACCGGGGAGAGGCUGCCCUUCACUGUUACUCAUUAACCCGACCGAGCUUCAGGAAGCCAGCGAGGGGCUGCAGGGAACCUUUGCCAAGAGCAGGGCCUGGGUGACCAGGUGGCUCCCGGGUACCCCCACACAGCCAGGCUGGGCUGGGACCAGGUGCUGGGAUGGGGGCUGUCAGGGAAGUGCCUCGGGGGCUCGUUCUGCAGACCCAGGAGGGAUCAGGGCAGCUGCAGGAGGUGGCAGGAGCCGCCCCCGGGGCCUUCCCUUCACAGGCCCCGCAGACACCAGCCCAGGACCCGGAGGCCACCCACACCACCGCCGGCCGAUGGGCGUCUUACCAGACAUGGUUAGACCUGGCCCUCUGUCUAAUACUGUCUGGUAAAACCGUCCAUCCGCUGCCUGAUCACCGUUAGAGGAGAGAGCUGCCUGCCCUGCAGCUCAUCAGUGCAAAGCCGCCCGGUCUGGGGCUCUCAUGCCCCCCUCACUAUGGCCUGUGCCCAUCCGCAGCCCAUCAGUGCAAAGCCGCCGGGGUCUGGGGCUCUUGUGCCCCACCCUCGCCAUGGCCUGUGCCCACCCGGCCUCCUGGGGCCCUCGAGCUGUAGUCCCCGGGCAGAUGCUGUGGACCCCGUGCUAUCAGCCUGGCCCCUGGGGUCACAGUCACAGAUACCCGGAGCCCCACCCCACAGCCCCAGCCCCCUCGCCACCUGGGGAGGCUGAGACAGAAGCAGCUGGGCCCCCCAAAGUGCCUGAGCCCAGGGCACGGAGGAGCACAAAUGCCCAGCAGGGACAAUGUCACAGCGUCUCAGCGGCCAGGCAGCAGGACGCAGAGACCUCUGGGAGGUUCCCGGGGCCAGCCCUGGCCCUCCUCCUCCAGGGGCCAGCCGUGGGAUGCAGACCACACUCUCCCUCCAGGGCCCAUCUCUGGGGCUGAGGCGGGCGGGGCCGGUGCCCAGCUGCAAGACCAUGGGAUAGGGAAGGCAGGUGCUUGGGGCCACGCAGCCCUGCACUGGGGGCCCCUCCACCCCAGGCGGCUCACGAGGUGUCAUCUGGAGCUGUCCCCAAGCCGGGAUCUGCAGGUUGACCUCCCCCACCCGGGGCUAUCUCCAGACCCUCUUUCCUCCCUGGGGAGAUGGGGCAGUCCCCCGCAGGGCCAGCUGAAACCACCCCCAUGCUGCUGCCGCCUGAGCGACGUGUGUGGGGAAGAACUUGGAGUGCCACCCCCAGAAUGUGGCGUCCACCUCACCAGACCGCACGGGUGAGCCCUGGACUGCAAGGUGCAUAUAACACAAGGUUUGGACACACCUGGAGAGCUCGGGCCAGGCAGGGCCACACCUGUGAGCCUGAGCUCAUCCAACACCGCCCGGAGCUCGGGGACCUUCCCCAUCCCAGCACCUCCUCACCGCUGUGCCCGUCUGGCCAGUCCCUCCAAGCACCCCUCGGAUGAAGUUGCGCCCCACACUGCAGUGGGGCUCACUCUCCACAGCGCCUGCUGCGUUGCACGGGGUGUGACAGGAAGGACCCUGCUGGGGCUGGCGGGGCCGUACCCAGAGCCUCCCUGUGCGGUUUCUCCUCCUCCUCCUCCUCUCCAUAAGCACCGGGAACAAAACAGAAAAAAGUCUUUGUAUAGUAAUAAAGUCUGCAGUUCACGCACCCAUGCUUGGACCAGCUCCUUAUUUUAACCACACGUGCACAGACCCCCGCCGUGCAAAGGGCCCAGCUGAGGACAGAACCCCAGACACUGCAUCCGGCCCCGGAGGCCCCCAAGGUUCCUGGGAGAGGCUCCCUCCCUCCCUUCCCUCCUCUUUCCCUCCCCCUCCUCCUUCCUCUCCUCCAUCCCUCCUUCCCCCUCCUCCCUCCUCCUCCUCUCUCCGUCCCUCCCUCCCUCCUUCUUUUGCUCAGGAAUCUUCCCUGACUCU